UGGCCAAGAUACAGGACAUUCAAGGUCACUCCAGCCCCCCGGGUCUCCAUGCGCUUCGCGUUGUCCAUCUGAUCACCGAAUAAGGGCAGCAUCACCAUGGGAACGCCGUUGCAUAUUCCCUCGUAUAUGCCAUGGGAUCCAGAAUGCGUGAUGAAGGCACGAGCUUUCGGGUGACCUGAGAAGCAGAAGGGAGAAGGAUGCCAGCGGUCAAGUCACCGAGGUUCACAGUCCGACACCAUCUAGACUCUGCGGGCAUGCUAAGGACUCGGCGCCACCCACAUGUGGCUCUUGCAGAAGCCUGCAGAGGAAAACAUGGGGGGAAAGUUUACUUCAUAAAAUGAGUGGAUGUCGAAUUAUAGGAGCAGCAAUAUAAGAAAUGAAUCCCAUGUCCUGACCAGCAGCUUUCUGUAGAAAUACUUCUUAUGUAACAUGAAGAAACACUGUCCUUUUCAUUUUACCAAUAAAAUAAAUUCU